AUUACAAAUGUGCUAAAAGUAUUGGAGGCAAAUGAGAUUAAUUUAACUAUUAAUCUCAUUUGCCUCCAAUACUUUUAGCACAUUUGUAAU